UCGUUACCGACCUAAACACUGAGCAGGCAGCGGAGACUGGACGUUAUAGGUGAACCACGUAACGGUAGAAAACCCGAGAAGCUAGUUGGUUAAGCAGAGAUGGACCGACACGGGAAACGGCUAGAGGUGGUUUUAAAACCGGAAACGAAGCUGCGAGGAGAAGGUUCGUUUUCUUUCUGCUCUGCUAAAGCAUUCUUACGCAUCCUGUUAGCUGGAGCUAGCUAGCUCCUGAAGCGGAUUCAUUAAGGACCUUUACCGUACAGCAUUUAGCCGUUUGUACGUGUAUUAGUGAAAGAAGCAGCUGCGAAUGGUUCCCAGUUACAGUGUCCUCCGGUUAAAGGACCAAUUGACGUAAUAACCGUGGUGGAAAGUGCAGCUUACGAACUCCUGCCAUUGUAACCCGCGUUUGCGCGACGCGCCCGUUGUGUUCUGGCGUCGAUAGACGAGGCAGGAGACAGUGUUUGGAUUGUGAUUGUUUACUUUGUGGAAGCUGGGGCGUCAACAGAACCAGGAGGACGUUAGCCGUGUGCGGUAAAUCCGCUAUGUUUAGCACCCUUAGCAAGGGCCUUAGCUUGCUAGCAUUAGCCUUUCAUCUGACGACAGGAACUCAUUAUAAAACGUCUAAUGGCGAAUUCGAACCACUGUUGAACAACUCGGAUAUUACAUAGAAAAGAAAAUAGUAGUAUGGCCAAUUUAAAAUUACAGUUAAUAACUUUAUAAACUGUUACCAACAAAGCGUCAUCACGCUGACCUGGUCCACACUUCGGCUGUUGGAACGAACCAAAGUCGAAUGUUAAAACAAUCAAUACUAUUCGAAUGCUGAAAUUCUAUUCGAAUGUGACUUUUUAUUAUAAUAAAUAUGUUGUCUAACGUUAGGCUGAUCUCCCUCUUCUUGCCUUGGCCUACUCGCAUGUGUCACUCAUGUUACGUCUGAUGAACAAUAAUUUGUGAGAAACACAAGGCAAUGUGAGGUCUAAGCUAACGUUACGUACAGAGUAACGUUAGUACAACAUUGCGGAGCUAACGUUACGUACCUAGUAAAGUUAGUACAAGGGGGAGUGACAGCCUGUGGCUGGAAAUCGUAAGAAAAAGACGGAAAAUAUUUUUAACGGGACUUUAAUAUCGACAUCCACCGAGCCAAAGUGCUUAUGUUAACAUUAGUUAGCUCGUUCUUGUUUUCUAACUGUGUUGCGAGGUAUUCACAACUUUCCUGCGAGUCCACCAUGAAACACGACACUUCCUGUUGACGGUAUCUCAGUUCCGGUUUAGCCUAAUGCUAAUGAAGCCAGCACACCAGGGAUAGGCUACUCACGGUACGAACGAGAACUGAUUACUGACAAGUAGUAAUGCUGACGGAUUAAGCAAUGGCUCCUUGUGGCUCAACGUGUGCUGUUGUUGGGUGCACAAACAACACGCGAAAAAUUAAGGAUUUUAUGAACGGGACCUGUUUGCAACAUAAACGGACGCGCUUGACCUGUUGCCCAGCACCCUACACACUCCAUUCAAUGCCCAGGGACGAGACAAGAACACGAGAAUGGUUAGCAGCCCUAAAGCUAAAAAAUCCACCAAAGAGAGUUUAUGUCUGUUCUUACCAUUUCAUCGACCACAAACCAACAGAGCUCCACCCGAAUCCGGAGUUAUUUCUUGGUUAUGAACGACAACCAGUUAAGAAAAUGCGAAAACUCAUCAGGUGCAAGAAUAACUUGGAGGUACAAGCUAACGCGAGUCAGACAUCAGUUUCGACCAGCAACGCUGAAGUGCAGCACGAACAGGGAGAGCCUCAUCUGACUGAUCAGAUGCUGUCCUGGACACCUGUUUGAUGAGGUUUACCUGGACCCACAAGACUCCUCACAGUAUGAAGGUAUUGUGGGACAGGUGCCAUACUUCUGCCAAGUGAUGAUGGUCUGAAGACAACACAGCAGCAUCAGGACAGAUUCAGUAUCCACAGGAUGACUUAUGUGACCUGAGAGCCUACAUUACCAGCUGACACAUCCUCAGUAGAAAAUAAACCCUUUAGUCUGGGUGAGGACAUGAUCUGGACUUUUAUCUGCUACUCUGUGCAUUAUGUAUACACACUUUAUAUUUACAUUUCAUUGACAUUGACUAUGAAUAAAGUGCUUUAUUUCUA